rnacentral:rRNA from 1 species
UGGGGAAUCUUGCACAAUGGGGGCAACCCUGAUGCAGCGACGCCGCGUGAGCGAUGAAGCCCUUCGGGGUGUAAAGCUCUUUCGGCAGGGAAGAUAAUGACGGUACCUGCAGAAUCAGCUGCGACUAACUACGUGCCAGCAGCCGCGGUAAUACGUAGGCAGCGAGCGUUGUUCGGAGUUACUGGGCGUAAAGGGUGUGUAGGCGGUGCUCUAAGUGUGGUGUGAAAUCUCCCGGCUCAACUGGGAGGGUGCGCUACGAACUGGAGUGCUCGAGUGCGGGAUGGGAGAGUGGAAUUCCUGGUGUAGCGGUGAAAUGCGUAGAUAUCAGGAGGAACACCGGUGGUGUAGACGGCUCUCUGGACCGCAACUGACGCUGAGACACGAAAGCGUGGGUAGCAAACAGGAUUAGAUACCCCCGUAGUCCCUGAGCGGGCUGGCAAGGCGCAU